CACAAGAGGAUGCUCUCCCUUCCCUCCGUGUCCCGUUGCUCAGCUCCCUCCUCCUUCCUCUCUCGAAAGCCAAGAGCUUUAAGAUUCCUCACUGUUCAACCUUGUUCCGAAAGAUACUCUUGUUCGAACCAGAAUCAACGAAUUCUGUGUAAAGCUUGAGGAGACAGUAGAUUCCAAGUCAGGAAAGUUAAGACUUGAUUCUUGGAUUUCUUGUCGCAUUUCUGGCUUCAGUAGAGCUCGCGUUCAGUCUAUUAUUAAAUCAGGAAUUGUCUCUGUCAAUGGAAAGAUUACCUAUAAGGUAGUUAUUUAACACAUCCCGGUUAUUUUGUUCUCAUCUGGGGUUGGUUUUUCUGAGAUAUUAAUGUUGAUGUCUGUUUAAGUUUUCGCAUAAUGUGAAGGCUGGAGAUGAGAUGGAUUGCAUAAUUUUAGAGUGGAAACCUUUGAGGGUUGAACCUGAAAAUUUACCUUUGGAUAUCGUCUAUGAAGAUGAGAAUGUUCUGGUUGUUAACAAACCUGCCCAGAUGGUGAUCGCUCUUUAAAAAAAGGUUGUUCAUCCUGCGCCUGGUAAUGCUACCGGCACGCUGGUGAAUGGGAUACUACACCAUAGUAGUCUUCCAACAGUUUCAAACCAGGAAGUUUUGUCGGAUGCAGAGGAUAUUUCUGACGACGAUGAUGGUGAAGGGUUAUGUUAUAGCUCAUACGUAGCAUCUGUUCGACCAGGGAUAGUGCAUUGGUUGGAUAAAGGCACCAGUGGAUUGCUUGUUGUUGUUAAGAUUCACACAUCUGUGCACGGGGAAAGAAAUACAUUUUUCAUGCCCGCCUCCUCCCGAUUUUACAGAUAUUUUGAACCAGCUUUGUGAAAUGGAACAGAGAAGGUAUUCUCUCUAAAGGGCAAUUCUGUGUUUUGGGGCAUCACUUUAUUACUAUUUGUGUUCCUUCGAAAGUUUGCAAGUUGAAUGUAAAACCUAAACUUUUGGAAGAUCAUCUAAUCUUGUCUGCUAUAUGAUCAACAAAAGAAAACAUAACAUAGGGUUGCUCAAGUAACACUCGGUCCUGGCACAUCAUGAAUUUUGCUUAAUCUGGCAUGUGUCUUGUCAUUCUGUUAAAUUGUGGUAUAAAAUGGUGUUUUACAUGCUUUUCAUCUUGCUUCUUUAAUCUGAAGGGGUCACUUGAACAAAAUGAUCCAUCAUUUGAUCUUAACCUAGAUUUUCUGUGGCUUUAUUGUACAAGACUGAAGUUUCUGAUUGAUGUUGUUCAUGGUGUGAGCAAAUAAUUUUAGGAACUUGUCUGCUGAUUUUUAACCGUUUGAUGAGCAACCUUCAUUUAAGGAAUGACAGAAUUUCUCGAGCAGCAAUAAGAAAAGAUUGUUCUGCGAGCGAAGACGACAGUGUCAAAACAUGCGGAAGGGUGCAACACCAAAUGGACAAAUUCAUGGUGAGGGCAAGAUUCGGGCAUGUUAAUGAAGGUGCUGGCAACAAGAUUCUACACGGUACAUUUAGGAUUCUGAGGUAGUUCCUCACCACAAGAGAUGGCACUGCCUCGUUCAGUUGAUAGUUCUCAGAAUAGUCUACGACCAUGGUAACUUGGAACGCCAUCCACGAACAGUUGAGAAUGAGAGAGAUUAAAUCGCUAGGAGAAUUUUUGCUUAAUCCCCUGUAUGUUUUGUUGUGAGAAUAUUAGAGGUGACGAAUUAGUUGAUUAAUUUAUGUAAAUAAAUAAAUAAAUGUAUGUUAGCCUCAGUUGGCAUAAGCUAUUUUGAAAUGCCUUAUCAUGAAUUUUUUAGAUUCUUUUUCUAUUGA